CCCAGAUCCUGGGCCACCACAUGGAGGACAGCGAGUGUCCUCAUGCACCAUGAGGGCUAGGCUUCAGUGUGCGAAGCCACUGCGAUGAAGUGUCUGUCACUGCAGCAGAGCCCAACACAUCCUGACUGACACAGUGAGACGGACGCUCAAAUACUGUACAAAAAUAGCUAUAACUUAUGUACGAAAUAAAGGCAUAACGAGAGAUUCUAACAGAGGCUGAUUUUGUCUUGGGGGGGAGGCAAGGGUUGUACGGGAAGACGGAGCUGAGAGCUGACAGGCAACGAGGAUGCAGGUCCAUCCCCUGAGCCCUGGGAUGGGUACCAGCACCGUGCUAAGUGCUUUACGAACAUCCCCACAAGGCCAUUCUCAGAAAAUGCCUAAAGCUUGGGGGACCAGGAGGGCGGCCAGGAGUGUGGUUUCUCCAUCAGUCAGGCGCUGAGCACCUACUACGUGCCGGGGAAAGAAGAGCCUCUGCUUUCAGGGGUUUCACACCCCGGAAGAAAGAAAAGGGGAGCUAGUUGAGAUGGAACAUUCAAGAAAGUCUUUCUGCCGAGGAAGGGGAUGCCUGGUGGGUUUGAGAAGCAGCAGGAGGGCAAUGGUGGCUGGAAGGGAACAGAACGAGGGUGGGAGAUGAAGUCAGAGACACAGGGCUCUGGAUGCUACUGAGAGAAGCCUUUGGAGGGUUCCGAGCAGAGGAGGGACAUCGCAUACUUCAUGUUUCAAGAGGAUGUUUUCAAGGGCUGCUGUCCUCAGAUAGGGGUGACCAGGCCCCCAGGGGACAUUCGGCAGUGUCUGGAGACACAUUGUCACAAGUCAGGGGUUUCUAGUUGGGAGAAGCCCAGGGAUGCACUGGACGACCCCCACAGCAGAGGAUGAUCCAGUCCUGAACGUUGUCAGGGCUCAGCAGAGAACGG
rnacentral:lncRNA from 1 species